GAACGAACGCUGGCGGCAUGCCUAACCCAUGCAAGUCGAACGAGACCUUCGGGUCUAGUGGCGCACGGGUGCGUAACGCGUGGGAACCUGCCCUUAGGUUCGGAAUAACUCCCCGAAAGGGGUGCUAAUACCGGAUAAUGUCUUCGGACCAAAGAUUUAUCGCCUUUGGAUGGGCCCGCGUUGGAUUAGCUAGUUGGUAGGGUAAAAGCCUACCAAGGCGACGAUCCAUAGCUGGUCUGAGAGGAUGAUCAGCCACACUGGGACUGAGACACGGCCCAGACUCCUACGGGAGGCAGCAGUGGGGAAUAUUGGACAAUGGGCGAAAGCCUGAUCCAGCAAUGCCGCGUGAGUGAUGAAGGCCUUAGGGUUGUAAAGCUCUUUUACCCGGGAUGAUAAUGACAGUACCGGGAGAAUAAGCUCCGGCUAACUCCGUG
rnacentral:rRNA from 1 species